UUUGAAAUCCGGCCCCCCGGGCCCGAGUUGUAAUUUGCAGAGGAUGCUUUUGGCGCGGCGCCUUCCGAGUUCCCUGGAACGGGACGCCAUAGAGGGUGAGAGCCCCGUCUGGUCGGACGCCCAGCCUCCGUAAAGCUCCUUCGACGAGUCGAGUAGUUUGGGAAUGCUGCUCAAAAUGGGAGGUAUAUGUCUUCUAAAGCUAAAUACCGGCCAGAGACCGAUAGCGCACAAGUAGAGUGAUCGAAAGAUGAAAAGCACUUUGAAAAGAGGGUUAAACAGUACGUGAAAUUGUUGAAAGGGAAGCGCUUGUGACCAGACUCGGGCGCGGCGAAUCAUCCGGCGUUCUCGCCGGUGCACUUCGCCGCGCCCGGGCCAGCAUCGGUUCGCGGCGGGGGACAAAGGCGCCGGGAACGUGGCUCCCCCGGGAGUGUUAUAGCCCGGCGCGCAAUGCCCCGCGGCGGACCGAGGUUCGCGCACCGCAAGGAUGCUGGCGUAAUGGUCCCCAGCGACCCGUCUUGAAACACGGACCAAGGAGUCGUCUUCGUAUGCGAGUGUUCGGGUGCCAAACCCCUACGCGGAAUGAAAGUGAACGCAGGUGAGAGCUUCGGCGCAUCAUCGACCGAUCCUGAUGUUCUCGGAUGGAUUUGAGUAAGAGCAUACGGGGCCGGACCCGAAAGAAGGUGAACUAUGCCUGUGUAGGGUGAAGCCAGAGGAAACUCUGGUGGAGGCUCGCAGCGGUUCUGACGUGCAAAUCGAUCGUCAAACAUGGGCAUGGGGGCGAAAGACUAAUCGAACCUUCUAGUAGCUGGUUUCCGCCGAAGUUUCCCUCAGGAUAGCAGUGUUGAACUCAGUUUUAUGAGGUAAAGCGAAUGAUUAGGGACCCGGGGGCGCUCUUUAGCCUUCAUCCAUUCUCAAACUUUAAAUAUGUAAGAAGCCCUUGUUGCUUAGGUGAACGUGGGCAUUCGAAUGCAUCAACACUAGUGGGCCAUUUUUGGUAAGCAGAACUGGCGAUGCGGGAUGAACCGAACGCGAGGUUAAGGUGCCGGAGUGGACGCUCAUCAGACACCACAAAAGGCGUUAGUACAUCUUGACAGCAGGACGGUGGCCAUGGAAGUCGGAAUCCGCUAAGGACUGUGUAACAACUCACCUGCCGAAUGUACUAGCCCUGAAAAUGGAUGGCGCUCAAGCGUCCCACCCAUACCUCGCCCUCGGGGUAGAAGCGACGCCCCGAGGAGUAGGCGGACGUGGGGGU
rnacentral:rRNA from 1 species